ACUGAUCAACCUUGAGAUGUUUCUACAGCUUAAUUGGAGUCCACCUGUGGUACAUUCAGUUGAUUGGACAUGAUUUAGAAAGGCACACACCUGUGUAUGAUAAG